UACGUAGGGGGCGAGCGUUGUCCGGAUUCAUUGGGCGUAAAGAGCUCGUAGGCGGUUUGUCACGUCUGCUGUGAAAACUCGGGGCUUAACCCCGAGCUUGCAGUGGAUACGGGCAGACUAGAGGUAGGUAGGGGAGAAUGGAAUUCCCGGUGUAGCGGUGAAAUGCGCAGAUAUCGGGAGGAACACCGGUGGCGAAGGCGGUUCUCUGGGCCUUACCUGACGCUGAGGAGCGAAAGCGUGGGGAGCGAACAGG
rnacentral:rRNA from 1 species